UCCGUUAGUUACCUGUAAUUAUGUACACCUGUAACUCACCUUUAUCACACCUUUAUUCGCCUCUACGCGGUUCUCUUAGUCCAAAACCCACUUAGCCUAGGGCAAGUCCGACACGGUUGUGUAUCCAAAAAGUUAAAGCUCGAUGCUGUAAGAUGAUUUACCCCUGACACUUAAUCCACUGUGUUCUGCUGCUAAGAAACGCAUUCGAAGUCCUUCUUCUUCACGACACGUGCUUGGUCCGGACCGUCAGUGCCAGCCUAGGGGCUCGAGUGGUCCUCUUCGGAUAUCGAAGGGUGUCAAGGAAUCGGGGACGGAGGAGCAGCGUCCGCUUAUUCACCGCACAGGAUGUUACUGAGAGUUUUCAUUCGCGCAGAGACAGCGGCAGUUCCGCGCUGACACUGGAAGAGGGGUUUGAGCGUCGCGGCGGCGCCUCCACCCCCGCCCCCCAACGUCGCUUUGCACCUAGGACAUCCAAUCUUCUCCGCCCCAGUGUCUCCUCGCCAGUCGCGCAAGAUCAAAUGCACGUAACGAGCACAAGCUUCCAACACUGCCAGUGUUUCAGGAUAUCCAGCGGCCAGGGAGUUGUGCACCUAAUGACGCAAGGGGGGUCUCAACCUCACCGGGGCAUAGCCCUCCCCUGCUGGUGUGUCCGUGGCUCUUGACUCCUCCUCCUGGGUGGCCUUGAGGUCCUGCAGAAACUGCCACUGCACUGGUAAGAUGAAACAGAAAGUGGGUAAGAUGGUUUCUGGAGAGGUUGUUACCAGGUCUU
rnacentral:lncRNA from 1 species